UGUUCGCACGAUGCCAACAUCUGCACAGAGUGGUUGCAUACCCGGGCGCACACAGUGCCGGGUGCCCAGGACCUGCUCCGGGUCUCGGAGGAGGCACCUGCCUUCCCUCUUCCCUCUUCAGUCCCUAGGGAUGCACCUCCCUCCACCAGGUCUCUCCCGCCUGACGCUCGCCGCGGGGCGCGCACCUGUCUUGGCUUUCUCGUGGGCACCGUGAGCCGGGACGCGCAAGGAGCUGCCCACGCACCCCACAAUCCCACAUUCCCCAGGCUGGCACCCUGCCGGCCGGAGGUUCCAGAUGUUCCACCCGGAUGGGGGCUUUUUGAGGCGGCAGGCUGCACCCAGAGCGGGGAUCCUACGCUCCAUUUUUACAUGGGGAAACCGAGGCGCACCACCACACAUCUGCUACCCUGGUUGCAGCCACCACCCUCUUUCGUCUGGAUUUCUGCAAUAGCCUCCUGACUGGCCUCCCUGCUUCCACCCUUGGCCCCCUGCAGUUGAUUCUCUACACAGCAGUCAGAGCCAUCCUUUUAAAACUCGCAACAGCCUUUUUAAAUGCAUCACCAACCAACAUGGCACCCACUCUGGCCUCUGGACAUUUGCAUGGCUGUUUUCUCUGCCUGGAAACUUCCCCUAAGAACUCACCUCUGGAGUCGUAUUUCCUGGCCGCAAGCCUGAAGAGUGAAAAGCCAAGGACAUUAACAAGAAAUAAAUAAGAUGGAAGUUUCCUGCACUGCUGAGUGGGGUGGACCUGGAGGACAGCAGGUCUGAACGUGCUCAGACAUGUUAUGGACUUUGUAUGAAAAGGAAAUAAACUUGUUCUGUGUUACGUC